rnacentral:rRNA from 1 species
CCUACGGGAGGCAGCAGUGGGGGAUAUUGCACAAUGGGGGAAACCCUGAUGCAGCGACGCCGCGUGGGCGAAGAAGUAUUUCGGUAUGUAAAGCCCUAUCAGCAGGGAAGAAGAAAUGACGGUACCUGAGUAAGAAGCACCGGCUAAAUACGUGCCAGCAGCCGCGGUAAUACGUAUGGUGCAAGCGUUAUCCGGAUUUACUGGGUGUAAAGGGAGCGCAGGCGGCACGGCAAGCCUGAUGUGAAAGCCCGCGGCCCAACCGCGGGACUGCAUUGGGAACUACCGGGCUGGAGUGCCGGAGAGGUAGGCGGAAUUCCUAGUGUAGCGGUGAAAUGCGUAGAUAUUAGGAGGAACACCAGUGGCGAAGGCGGCUUACUGGACUGCAACUGACGUUGAGGCUCGAAAGCGUGGGGAGCAAACAGGAUUAGAUACCCCAGUAGUC